GACGAACGCUGGCGGCGUGCUUAACACAUGCAAGUCGAACGGAAAGGCCCUGCUUUUGUGGGGUGCUCGAGUGGCGAACGGGUGAGUAACACGUGAGUAACCUGCCCUUGACUUUGGGAUAACUUCAGGAAACUGGGGCUAAUACCGGAUAGGAGCUCCUGCUGCAUGGUGGGGGUUGGAAAGUUUCGGCGGUUGGGGAUGGACUCGCGGCUUAUCAGCUUGUUGGUGGGGUAGUGGCUUACCAAGGCUUUGACGGGUAGCCGGCCUGAGAGGGUGACCGGCCACAUUGGGACUGAGAUCCGGCCCAGACUCCUACGGGAGGCAGCGGUGGGGAAUAUUGCACAGUGGGCGGAAGCCUGAUGCAGCAACGCCGCGUGCGGGAUGACGGCCUUCGGGUUGUAAACCGCUUUCGCCUGUGACGAAGCGUGAGUGACGGUAAUGGGUAAAGAAGCACCGGCUAACUACGUG
rnacentral:rRNA from 1 species